AGGUAUCUUUCUUACAGUUUGAAAAUACAUUUAAAAAACAGCAAUGGGAUCUCAAACUGCAUGCAAGAGAAACCUGGUGAGACUGACAGCUCCGGUCAUCCCAAUGUCUGCAGCUGCUAUUCACCUUUCCUAUAAUG
rnacentral:snoRNA from 1 species